rnacentral:rRNA from 1 species
AUUGAACGCUGGCGGCAGGCCUAACACAUGCAAGUCGAGCGGAUGAAGGGAGCUUGCUCCUGGAUUCAGCGGCGGACGGGUGAGUAAUGCCUAGGAAUCUGCCUGGUAGUGGGGGAUAACGUCCGGAAACGGGCGCUAAUACCGCAUACGUCCUGAGGGAGAAAGUGGGGGAUCUUCGGACCUCACGCUAUCAGAUGAGCCUAGGUCGGAUUAGCUAGUUGGUGGGGUAAAGGCCUACCAAGGCGACGAUCCGUAACUGGUCUGAGAGGAUGAUCAGUCACACUGGAACUGAGACACGGUCCAGACUCCUACGGGAGGCAGCAGUGGGGAAUAUUGGACAAUGGGCGGAAGCCUGAUCCAGCCAUGCCGCGUGUGUGAAGAAGGUCUUCGGAUUGUAAAGCACUUUAAGUUGGGAGGAAGGGCAGUAAGUUAAUACCUUGCUGUUUUGACGUUACCGACAGAAUAAGCACCGGCUAACUUCGUG